CACCGCCCGUCGCUACUACCGAUUGGAUGGUUUAGUGAGGCCCUCGGAUCGGCCCCGCCGGGGUCGGCCCACGGCCCUGGCGGAGCGCUGAGAAGACGGUCGAACCCGACUAUCUAGAGGAAGUAAAAGUCGUAACAAGGUUUCCGGAGGUGAACCUGCGGAAG
rnacentral:ncRNA from 1 species